AACGCAUAUUGCGCCCCUUGGUAUUCCGAGGGGCAUGCCUUUUCGAGCGUCAUUACAACCGUCAAGCACUGCUUGGUGUUGGGCCUCCGCCCCUACGUGGGCUGGCCUCAAAGUCAUCAGCGGCUGAGCGAACAGCUUCUAGCGUAGUAGAAAUUAACUCGCUGGGGGAGCCGGCCUCGGGCAGCUGUCAAACUCGCGCUUUGCGCACAUCUUAGGCUGACCUCGGAUAAGGUAGGGAUACCCGCUGAACUUAA
rnacentral:misc_RNA from 1 species